rnacentral:rRNA from 1 species
UGGGGAAUUUUGCGCAAUGGGGGAAACCCUGACGCAGCAACGCCGCGUGGAGGAUGAAGUCCCUUGGGACGUAAACUCCUUUCGACCGGGAAGAUUACGACGGUACCGGAAGAAGAAGCCCCGGCUAACUUCGUGCCAGCAGCCGCGGUAAUACGAGGGGGGCAAGCGUUGUUCGGAAUUAUUGGGCGUAAAGGGUGCGUAGGCGGUUCGGUAAGUCUCGUGUGAAAUCUUCAGGCUCAACUUGAAGUCUGCACGAGAAACUGCCGGGCUUGAGUGUGGGAGAGGUGAGUGGAAUUUCCGGUGUAGCGGUGAAAUGCGUAGAUAUCGGAAGGAACACCUGUGGCGAAAGCGGCUCACUGGACCACAACUGACGCUGAUGCACGAAAGCUAGGGGAGCAAACAGGAUUAGAUACCCUGGUAGUCCUAGCCCUAAACGAUGAUCGCUAGGUGUGACGGGUACCCAAUCCCGCCGUGCCGAAGCUAACGCGUUAAGCGAUCCGCCUGGGGAGUACGGUCGCAAGGCUG